CAAUAGCGUAUAUUAAAGUUGUUGCAGUUAAAAAGCUCGUAGUUGGAUUUUUGCUUGCCGCCGAUGUCGGAACUUCCGUACGUUCGGCGGCGUGCAUCCUUGGGUGGAACCUGUGUGGCAUUAGGUUGUCGUGCAGGGGAUGCUCAUCGUUUACUGUGAAAAAAUUAGAGUGUUCAAAGCAGGCUUACGCCGUUGAAUAUAUUAGCAUGGAAUAAUAAGAUAGGACCUUGGUACUAUUUUGUUGGUUUGCGCACCGAGGUAAUGAUUAACAGGGACAGUUGGGGGUAUUCGUAUUCCAUUGUCAGAGGUGAAAUUCUUGGAUUUCUGGAAGACGAACUACUGCGAAAGCAUUUACCAAGGAUGUUUUCAUUAA
rnacentral:rRNA from 1 species